ACCGGCAGCUCAAGUGGUGGCCAUUAUUAUUGGGCCUAAAGCGUUCGUAGCCGGUUUGAUAAGUCUCUGGUGAAAUCCCGCAGCUUAACUGUGGGACUUGCUGGAGAUACUAUCAGACUUGAGGUCGGGAGAGGUUAGGGGUACUCCCAGGGUAGGGGUGAAAUCCUAUAAUCCUGGGAGGAACACCGGUGGCGAAGGCGGCCACCUGGACAGGUACUGACGCUGAGGCGCGAAAGCGUGGGGAGCAAACAG
rnacentral:rRNA from 1 species